UACGGGGGGGAGCAAGCGUUGUUCGGAUUUACUGGGCGUAAAGGGCGCGUAGGCGGUCAGCACAAGUCAGUUGUGAAAUCUCCGAGCUUAACUCGGAAAGGUCAACUGAUACUGUGCGACUAGAGUGCGGAAGGGGCAACUGGAAUUCUUGGUGUAGCGGUGAAAUGCGUAGAUAUCAAGAGGAACACCGGUGGCGAAGGCGGGUCUCUGGGCCGUAACUGACGCUGAGGAGCGAAAGCAUGGGGAGCGAACAGG
rnacentral:rRNA from 1 species